AUUGAACGCUGGCGGCAUGCCUUACACAUGCAAGUCGAACGGUAACAGGUCUUCGGAUGCUGACGAGUGGCGAACGGGUGCGUAAUACAUCGGAACGUGCCCGAUCGUGGGGGAUAACGAGGCGAAAGCUUUGCUAAUACCGCAUACGAUCUACGGAUGAAAGCGGGGGAUCUUCGGACCUCGCGCGGACGGAGCGGCCGAUGGCAGACUAGGUAGUUGGUGGGAUAAAAGCUUACCAAGCCGACGAUCUGUAGCUGGUCUGAGAGGAUGAUCAGCCACACUGGGACUGAGACACGGCCCAGACUCCUACGGGAGGCAGCAGUGGGGAAUUUUGGACAAUGGGCGAAAGCCUGAUCCAGCCAUGCCGCGUGCAGGAUGAAGGCCUUUGGGUUGUAAACUGCUUUUGUACGGAACGAAAAGCCUCUUUCUAAUAAAGAGGGGUCAUGACGGUACCGUAAGAAUAAGCACCGGCUAACUACGUG
rnacentral:rRNA from 1 species